GCCGGGUGUGGUGGUGGGCACCUGUAGUCCCAGCUACCUGGGAGGCUGAGGCAGGAGAAUCGCUUGAACCCGGGAGGCGGAGGUUGCAGUGAGCUGAGGUCGCACCACUGCACUCCAGCCUGGGUGACAAAGCGAGACACUGUCUCAC
rfam:Pan troglodytes isolate Yerkes chimp pedigree #C0471 (Clint) chromosome 1, whole genome shotgun sequence.